GACCAUCCUGGCUAACACGGAUUUCUGGACUGGGUGAAUCUUAUCUGCAUUUGGCAAUCAUGAUUCUGAGACUGAAAUUGUGUAACUCUGGAAUUUUAGAGGUGACUGCGUGACAAUUCUGAGAGGCCAAUGCCAAUGAGAGAAAAGUUUACUGCUACUCAUGAUGGCGCCCCUGGAAGCAGAAGACACAGCACGCUAUAGAGGGCCAUGUGGGAAAGCACUGGAGUAGCUCCAGGCCGGGCUUGCCAGUCUCUCUGCACUCUGGAAGGAGUUUGCCUGGGUUGGGGUUGUCCCUUGGUAGAUUCCAAACCUUCAUUUUGUCAAUUUACUUAAAGGUGACUGGGUUUAAAGGGGCUGACUGAUUGUAAAUAACUUGGAGAAUAAAUCAAUAUUCAUUAAUAAAGUUAAAUAAUUCACGUAAAAUUAAAGUAUAAUAGGCAUAAUUUAUAUUAUUGGUUUUUUUUUCAAUUUAGGGGCAUUCGCUCCUUCUUUAUAGAUUCACUCAGAAAAUUGUAUUAUGGAACACAGUUUCAUUCAUAAGUAUAGAGUUUGAGCGAAAGGGUAGAUAUUCUUUUCUGUAAAUUAAUUUUAAUUUGUACUUUAAGUUCUAGGGUACAUGUGCAGGAUGUGCAGGUUUGUUACAUAGGUAAACGUGUGCCAUGGUGGUUUGCCGCACCUAUCAACCCAUCAUCUAGGUAUUAAGCCUAGCAUGCAUUAGCUAUCUUUCCCAAUGCUCUCCCUCCCCAUCACCCCACCCCCCGACAGGCCCCAGUAUGUGUUGUUCCCCUCCCUGUGCCCAUGUGUUUUCUUGUUCAGCUCCCACUUAUAAGUGAGAGCAUGCGGUGCUUGUUUUUCUACUCCUGCAUUAGUUUGCUGAGGAUAAUGGCUUCCAGUUCCAUCCAUGUCCCUGCAGAGGACAUGAUCUCGUAUGCAAAAGGGAAGAUACUGUUAAAGCAUGUUUCUUUUCUUUUUUCUUUGACAUUUUAAAAAUUAACAUGAUUUCUGUCUAAAUACUGGGUACUCAUUAUUAGAAUAAGAGGACCUUCCAACAGCUGUGCAGGGGACAUUCCAUUGACACAUUCUUAGUCUUUGACUCUCUUCUGUUAAGAAUUCAUACAGAUUACUACCCUUCCAUUCAAAUCCAUUUGCUAAAUCAUACUUUGCCCACCUGAUAAGUCAAAGUUUGGAACUGUGUUCUUAAAUGAAUGAAUGAAUGAAUUAAACAUUAUUCUUGGUGAAAUUUGGGCAAUAUCUUUUGCUGUUUCUUAAAAAAUGUUCUAGUUUUAUCAGCAUCUUUGAAAGUCUCAGACUUGAAUGUUUCUAUGGAAGGAGUUAGCUGCACCCAUAUUUCAUAAGUUCUUCAUAGUUUUAAUAUCAAAUAAUGAGGUAUUAUUGCUAAUGUUGUCUGAUGUUAUAAUAGCAUUAUUACUAUAUUAGUAUUAUUAUUAUUUUUUGAGACAGAGUCUUGCUCUGUCGCCAGGCUGGAGUGCAGUGGCAUGAUCUCAGUUCACUGCAGCC
rnacentral:lncRNA from 10 species